UACGUAGGUGGCAAGCGUUGUCCGGAAUUAUUGGGCGUAAAGCGCGCGCAGGUGGUUUAAUAAGUCUGAUGUGAAAGCCCACGGCUCAACCGUGGAGGGUCAUUGGAAACUGUUAAACUUGAGUGCAGGAGAGAAAAGUGGAAUUCCUAGUGUAGCGGUGAAAUGCGUAGAGAUUAGGAGGAACACCAGUGGCGAAGGCGGCUUUUUGGCCUGUAACUGACACUGAGGCGCGAAAGCGUGGGGAG
rnacentral:rRNA from 1 species